AGUGAACGCUGGCGGCGUGCCUAAUACAUGCAAGUCGAACGGAGUGGCGCACGGGUGAGUAAUAUCUAGCUAAUCUGCCCCUUGCUGGAGGUCACCAGUUAGAACUGACUGCUAAUACUCCAUAGCAAGGGUUGAGACUAUAUCGUAUCAGCUAGUCGGUGGGGUAACGGCCUACCGAGGCUAUGACGCGUAACUGGUCUGAGAGGAUGAUCAGUAACAUUGGAAGUGAGACACGGUCGAAACUCCUACGGGAGGCAGCAGUAGGGAAUAUUGCGCAAUGGGGGAAACCCUGACGCAGCAACGCCGCGUGGAGGAUGACACUUGUCGGAGCGUAAACUCCUGUUGUUAGGGAAGCGGUACCUAACGAAUAAGCACCGGCUAACUCCGUGCCAGCAGCCGCGGUAAUAC
rnacentral:rRNA from 1 species